rnacentral:rRNA from 1 species
UACAGAGGUGGCAAGCGUUGUUCGGAACUACUGGGCGUAAAGGGCGAGUAGGCGGCCUCCUAAGUCAGACGUGAAAUCCCCCGGCUUAACCUGGGAACUGCGUCUGAUACUGGGAAGCUUGAGUAUGGGAGAGGAAGGUAGAAUUCCAGGUGUAGCGGUGAAAUGCGUAGAUAUCUGGAGGAAUACCGGUGGCGAAGGCGGCCUUCUGGACCAUAACUGACGCUGAUCCGCGAAAGCUAGGGGAGCAAGCGGG